GCGGCACCGAGGGCCAGGGGAAGGCUGCUGCGCUCUAGGAGCGUGGUUGUCGGGGUUUGAAGCUGUUUCUGAGCCUCGAGCCACAAUGCAAAUAUGUAACCAUGCCCAACUCCAGAAGUCCCAGGUUUGGGCCCCCGACGAUGGAUGGCUUCUUGUUAAAUUAAACUCACGUCAUGAUAAGCUGUGGAUUAACUUCAAGAAAACCUUGCUGACAUCGAAGAAAUGAGAGCAUGCUGGGAGCAUCUGAAAACAGUGUGAACUCUAAAGGGCAGGUGCAUCUGAACACUUCCAACCCUGCAGCACGCUGGCAGAAUGGACACUAUCACCAGGACUUUCCCCUCUAAAAACAGAUUGUUUUCUCUAGAAAAGAGCCUCAAAGCCUAUGUCGGGAGUCAUGGCUGCAUCCCCCAGGCGAGCCUCGGUUCCUAUGAGGUUUGUAAGUGUCCUGGUAUGAGUCAGGGUAAUCUUCCUCCACCAGGGGGUAGUGAUCUCGGCUGUGCUGGGAGCUGGAAGACAAGCGGUUCCUACUCUUGCGGGCCCUCUCAUUGUGAUAAUUCUCAUCAGAGGUCAUUAGGCUUCGUCUUUCAAUUGGAGAAUUCUCUGUAGAAUGGUUGCUGUGCCUCAUUCGCUGGCUCUAAAAAUAUCAGACAGUUCACUGGUUAGAGAAGGUCAGCUUCAUUCAGCUGAACAUUUGAACGCAUGCGCAAUAACGGGCUGUACAACAAGCUGCUGUCUGACCUAAUAAAGCAUUUUGAUUCACAAA